rfam:Agrilus planipennis Contig75239, whole genome shotgun sequence.
AAAUAAUUAAGCAAUUUAUUAAACAGAGACGACUGCUAGGUAGUGCGAGAUUGUGUAGAUUCUUAUUAAUGUAUGGUACGAAUACAACUUAUCGGCUGAAGAGGACCCUAGUUGGUCCUAAAACGGCCUGAGGUAGAGGGGUUUUAGUCGGUAGGUCCGAGGACUUCUUCCUCGGGAAUCCGACACUACCCAGUCGUACGGACGGCUGGGUGUCUUUUGAAGAUUUCCCCUCUUCCACGAAA